UUCUUCUGUAUCCGGAUGGCACUGAGGUCAUUACUGUCCCUGGAACACAAAGACCAUUUACACUUGAGGCUUAUAAGGCUGAAGUUGGCAAGCCUUAUCAAAGAAUCACUGUUUUCAUCUGCUUGAAGAGUGACUUUGAAGAUGUUGGAGAAAACUCAGACUUGUCUGACUCUGACCCAGAGAUUGUUAUUAAAAGGCCCUCUGAGUUUGAUCUUGCUGAUACACUGCCAUGGGAACUUCAACAUGAAAGCAGUCCUUUACAGAAAG